GAUGAACGCUGGCGGCGUGCCUAAUACAUGCAAGUAGAACGCUGAAGGAAGGAGCUUGCUCUUUCCGGAUGAGUUGCGAACGGGUGAGUAACGCGUAGGUAACCUGCCUGGUAGCGGGGGAUAACUAUUGGAAACGAUAGCUAAUACCGCAUAACAGUAGAUGUUGCAUGAUAUCUACUUAAAAGGUGCAAUUGCACCACUACCAGAUGGACCUGCGUUGUAUUAGCUAGUUGGUGAGGUAACGGCUCACCAAGGCGACGAUACAUAGCCGACCUGAGAGGGUGAUCGGCCACACUGGGACUGAGACACGGCCCAGACUCCUACGGGAGGCAGCAGUAGGGAAUCUUCGGCAAUGGACGGAAGUCUGACCGAGCAACGCCGCGUGAGUGAAGAAGGUUUUCGGAUCGUAAAGCUCUGUUGUAAGAGAAGAACGAGUGUGAGAGUGGAAAGUUCACACUGUGACGGUACCUUACCAGAAAGGGACGGCUAACUACGUG
rnacentral:rRNA from 1 species